CGAGAGAGCGGUCACCCUUUUAUGUAGUUUUUUUCUUUUAAUUUUAAUUGUUCAGCCCAAGGACAUUUGAGGCCAGGAUGCGGGCCAGGCCAGUCAACUUUUGUGCGCCACAUAAUCAAGGCAGCAAUGGGGAAAAGGGCAGUAGGCAGUAGAAGCAGGAGCCCGCAGGCUCAGGCGAUAAAGACGACCCCUUGGCGAAAAGGAAACGGCGAAACACGUUAUUACACUAAGCGGAUUUGAACGGGCUGCGUGUCCUUGAGCUUUGGCACGCCUCAGUUCCUCUAUACCUUCCCAGCUUCCUCCAUUCCCAGGCGA
rnacentral:sRNA from 1 species